GCCUAUGGCCCAAUCACCCAGAAUGUGUCCGAUCUCGUCAGAUCUCAGAAGCUAAGCUGGUUUGAGCCUUGAUAGUGCCUGAAUAGAAUCUACAUAUAACUUAGGCGGCGAGGCGUAAAAACAGGUUGCCAUGAGCA
rnacentral:rRNA from 1 species